UACGUAGGGUGCGAGCGUUGUCCGGAAUUACGUGGGCGUAAAGAGCUCGUAGGUGGUUUGUCGCGUUGUUCGUGAAAUCUCACGGCUUAACUGUGAGCGUGCGGGCGAUACGGGCAGACUAGAGUACUGCAGGGGAGACUGGAAUUCCUGGUGUAGCGGUGGAAUGCGCAGAUAUCAGGAGGAACACCGGUGGCGAAGGCGGGUCUCUGGGCAGUAACUGACGCUGAGGAGCGAAAGCGUGGGAGCGAAACAGG
rnacentral:rRNA from 1 species